AUUCGUCUGUGACUCAUCAACAGGAUGACUGGCUUUUCACACCAAUUUCUGAGAUGUGCCUCCCUCGAGCCUUAUAGGGAUGUUGGUAUGUUACCUAGUUCAUG